AGCAGCCGCGGUAAUUCCAGCUCCAAUAGCGUAUAUUAAAGUUGUUGCAGUUAAAAAGCUCGUAGUUGAAUUUUGGGUCUGGCCGGGCGGUCCGCCCUCCGGGUGAGCACUGUUCCGACGCCGGGCCUAUCCUUCUGGUGAGUCGGCAUGUCCUUUACUGGGUGUGUCGGGGAACCAGGACCAUUACCUUGAAAAAUUAGAGUGUUCAAAGCAGGCGUAUGCUCGGAUACAUUAGCAUGGAAUAAUGAAAUAGGACGCGUGGUGCUAUUUUGUUGGUUUCUAGAACCGCCGUAAUGAUUAAUAGGGAUAGUUGGGGGCAUUAGUAUUCAAUUGUCAGAGGUGAAAUUCUUGGAUUUAUUGAAGACUAACUUCUGCGAAAGCAUUUGCCAAGGAUGUUUCAUUAAUCAAGAACGAAAGUUAGGGGAUCGAAGACGAUCAGAUACCGUCGUAGUCUUAACCAUAAACUAUGCCGACUAGGAAUCGGGCGAUGUUAUU
rnacentral:rRNA from 1 species